GAUGAACGCUGGCGGCGUGCCUAAUACAUGCAAGUCGAGCGAACAGACGAGGAGCUUGCUCCUCUAACGUUAGCGGCGGACGGGUGAGUAACACGUGGAUAACCUACCUAUAAGACUGGGAUAACUUCGGGAAACCGGAGCUAAUACCGGAUAAUAUAUUGAACUGCAUGGUUCAAUAGUGAAAGACGGUUUUGCUGUCACUUAUAGAUGGAUCCGCGCCGCAUUAGCUAGUUGGUAAGGUAACAGCUUACCAAGGCAACGAUGCGUAGCCGACCUGAGAGGGUGAUCGGCCACACUGGAACUGAGACACGGUCCAGACUCCUACGGGAGGCAGCAGUAGGGAAUCUUCCGCAAUGGGCGAAAGCCUGACGGAGCAACGCCGCGUGAGUGAUGAAGGUCUUCGGAUCGUAAAACUCUGUUAUUAGGGAAGAACAAAUGUGUAAGUAACUAUGCACGUCUUGACGGUACCUAAUCAGAAAGCCACGGCUAACUACGUGCCAGCAGCCGCGGUAAUACGUAGGUGGCAAGCGUUAUCCGGAAUUAUUGGGCGUAAAGCGCGCGUAGGCGGUUUUUUAAGUCUGAUGUGAAAGCCCACGGCUCAACCGUGGAGGGUCAUUGGAAACUGGAAAACUUGAGUGCAGAAGAGGAAAGUGGAAUUCCAUGUGUAGCGGUGAAAUGCGCAGAGAUAUGGAGGAACACCAGUGGCGAAGGCGACUUUCUGGUCUGUAACUGACGCUGAUGUGCGAAAGCGUGGGGAUCAAACAGGAUUAGAUACCCUGGUAGUCCACGCCGUAAACGAUGAGUGCUAAGUGUUAGGGGGUUUCCGCCCCUUAGUGCUGCAGCUAACGCAUUAAGCACUCCGCCUGGGGAGUACGACUGCAAGGUUGAAACUCAAAGGAAUUGACGGGGACCCGCACAAGCGGUGGAGCAUGUGGUUUAAUUCGAAGCAACGCGAAGAACCUUACCAAAUCUUGACAUCCUCUGACCCCUCUAGAGAUAGAGUUUUCCCCUUCGGGGGACAGAGUGACAGGUGGUGCAUGGUUGUCGUCAGCUCGUGUCGUGAGAUGUUGGGUUAAGUCCCGCAACGAGCGCAACCCUUAAGCUUAGUUGCCAUCAUUAAGUUGGGCACUCUAAGUUGACUGCCGGUGACAAACCGGAGGAAGGUGGGGAUGACGUCAAAUCAUCAUGCCCCUUAUGAUUUGGGCUACACACGUGCUACAAUGGACAAUACAAAGGGUAGCGAAACCGCGAGGUCAAGCAAAUCCCAUAAAGUUGUUCUCAGUUCGGAUUGUAGUCUGCAACUCGACUAUAUGAAGCUGGAAUCGCUAGUAAUCGUAGAUCAGCAUGCUACGGUGAAUACGUUCCCGGGUCU
rnacentral:rRNA from 1 species